rnacentral:rRNA from 1 species
UACAGAGGGUGCGAGCGUUGUUCGGAAUUAUUGGGCGUAAAGGGCGCGUAGGCGGUGCGGUAAGUCACCUGUGAAAUCUCCUGGCUCAACUGGGAGCUUGCAGGCGAAACUGCCGUGCUGGAGUGUGGGAGAGGUGAGUGGAAUUCCUGGUGUAGCGGUGAAAUGCGUAGAUAUCGGGAGGAACACCUGUGGCGAAAGCGGCUCACUGGACCACAACUGACGCUGAGGCGCGAAAGCUAGGGGAGCAAACAGG